GCCCGCAAGGGGAUCUCUGAGGAAACUGCGGCGAUGAGCGAGGAGUGGGAUGACGUCAAGUCCUCAUGGCCCUUAUAGGUGGGCUACACACGUCAUACAAUGGCUGGUACAAAGGGUUGCCAACCCGCGAGGGGGAGCUAAUACCCAUAAAGCCAGUCGUAGUCCGGAUCGUAGUCUGCAACUCGACUACGUGAAGUCGGAAUCGCUAGUAAUCGUGGAUCAGAAUGUCACGGUGAAUACGUUCCCGGGUCUU
rnacentral:rRNA from 1 species